rnacentral:rRNA from 1 species
CCUACGGGGGGCAGCAGUGGGGAAUUUUGGACAAUGGGCGCAAGCCUGAUCCAGCAAUGCCGCGUGCAGGAAGAAGGCCUUCGGGUUGUAAACUGCUUUUGUACGGAACGAAACGCUCUUUUCUAAUACGGGGUAAUGACGGUACCGUAAGAAUAAGCACCGGCUAACUACGUGCCAGCAGCCGCGGUAAUACGUAGGGUGCGAGCGUUAAUCGGAAUUACUGGGCGUAAAGCGUGCGCAGGCGGUCCUGUAAGACAGAUGUGAAAUCCCCGGGCUUAACCUGGGAACUGCAUUUGUGACUGCAGGGCUGGAGUACGGCAGAGGGGGAUGGAAUUCCGCGUGUAGCAGUGAAAUGCGUAGAUAUGCGGAGGAACACCGAUGGCGAAGGCAAUCCCCUGGGCCUGCACUGACGCUCAUGCACGAAAGCGUGGGGAGCAAACAGGAUUAGAUACCCGAGUAGUC